GAUGAACGCUAGCGACAGGCCUAACACAUGCAAGUCGAGGGGCAGCACGGUGUAGCAAUACACGGGUGGCGACCGGCGCACGGGUGAGUAACGCGUAUGCAACCUGCCUACUACAAGGGGAUAACCCGUUGAAAGACGGACUAAUACCCUAUAACACAGGGAAUCCGCAUGGAUAUAUUUGUUAAAGAUUUAUCGGUAGUAGAUGGGCAUGCGUUCCAUUAGCUUGUUGGUGAGGUAACGGCUCACCAAGGCAACGAUGGAUAGGGGAACUGAGAGGUUGAUCCCCCACACUGGAACUGAGACACGGUCCAGACUCCUACGGGAGGCAGCAGUGAGGAAUAUUGGUCAAUGGACGAGAGUCUGAACCAGCCAAGUCGCGUGAAAGGAAGACGGCCCUACGGGUUGUAAACUUCUUUUGUAAGGGAAUAAAUAGUCUUACGCGCUAAGACGUUGCUAGGUACCUUACGAAUAAGGAUCGGCUAACUCCGUGCCAGCAGCCACGGUAAAAGUC
rnacentral:rRNA from 1 species